UGAGGAAUAUUGCGCAAUGGGCGAAAGCCUGACGCAGCGACGCCGCGUGGAGGAUGAAGGUCUUCGGAUUGUAAACUUCUGUUAAGUGGAAAGAAAGACUCAUCUCUAAUACAGAUGAGUUAUGACGGUACCAUUAGAGAAAGCACCGGCUAACUUCGUGCCAGCAGCCGCGGUAAUACGAAGGGUGCAAGCGUUAUUCGGAAUUAUUGGGCGUAAAGGGCGCGUAGACGGUUUGUUAAGUCUGUUGUU
rnacentral:rRNA from 1 species